rfam:Flavobacterium frigoris strain DSM 15719 genome assembly, contig: Ga0131223_104
UUUUAGCCCUGAUUGAAGUGGAAAUCCUUUUAUCUCGUUUUUCAACGAGUUAAAAGAUUGAAGCGUAAAGCAGGAAAUAGC